GUUUAAUUCGAUGCAACGCGAAAAACCUUACCACUUCUUGACAUGGAGGCUAGAUCCUUCUUAACGGAAGGGCGCAGUUCGGCUGGGCCUCGCACAGGUGCUGCAUGGCUGUCGUCAGCUCGUGUCGUGAGAUGUUGGGUUAAGUCCCGCAACGAGCGCAACCCUCAUCCUUAGUUACCAGCGGGUAAUGCCGGGCACUUUAAGGAAACUGCCAGUGAUAAACUGGAGGAAGGUGGGGAUGAUGUCAAGUCAGCACGGCCCUUAUGGGGUGGGCUACACACGUGCUACAAUGGCGACUACAAUAGGUUGCAACGUCGCAAGGCUGAGCUAAUCCGUAAAAGUCGUCUCAGUUCGGAUUGUCCUCUGUAACUCGAGGGCAUGAAGUCGGAAUCGCUAGUAAUCGUGGAUCAGCAUGCCACGGUGAAUACGA
rnacentral:rRNA from 1 species